CGAGUGGCGGACGGGUGAGUAAUACUUAGGAAUCUGCCCAUUAGUGGGGGACAACUCGGGGAAACUCGAGCUAAUACCGCAUACGCCCUACGGGGGAAAGCGGAGGACCUUUCGGGGCUUCGCGCUAAUGGAUGAGCCUAAGUCGGAUUAGCUUGUUGGUGAGGUAAAGGCUCACCAAGGCGACGAUCCGUAGCUGGUCUGAGAGGACGAUCAGCCACACUGGGACUGAGACACGGCCCAG
rnacentral:rRNA from 1 species